UCUGGAUCUGCGAUGUGAUGUGAACUCUCAGUCAACUGGAAAGACGUCAAGAGGUUUUUGUGUCACUUUGUGGCGGGCAUCAUCAUCAAGCAACAAAAUGGGCCCAAGCAGAACCACCCGAACCUGCAUAAGUGGUUCCGAAUGAGUCGAUGGAGAAGCGACUCACCGAAGCGCCUGUCAGCCGAGGCGGGGGAGGAGGAGGUCCGCAGGAGGAGGAGGAGGAAGAGAGUCUGGUCGGCCCUAUUGCCCGCUCAGGGCGGCACCUGUGCGGCCUGAGGAAUAGGAAAGGAGUCGGUGGGGAUGGAGGAAGAGGGAGAUGGAUGGAGGCGAGCAGGUUGGGCGUUUACUCCUCUUCCUCCUCCUGAUGCUGCUGCUGCCGUUUGACGCUCCCAGCAAACGCGUAGUUGUCUUCGCGCACAACACAUCCGGCGCUCGACUUCAAAGUAAAAUCAAGGGAAUAAAACGUAACUUUCUACACUUCGCAUGGCACAGACAAACAAUGACCUGGUCGCCAGUCCGUGUCUAAAACACGAGUGCUGCCAGAGAGGGGAAAAGAAAAACCAACAAAACCAAAUGAUUAUCUCUUCUUUAUUUAUUCCAAAGACAUCUUUUACAAGUGUAUGGAGGCAAGCUGUUUGCAGGUCACAUGACCUUUUAGUAAAGGCACAACAGGAAGGAGACUUUUUAGUGUGAACCCUUCAAAAUAAGAGUACCGCUGUCCUUACUAUGAAAUGUGCUUCCAACGGGGCACACUUCACAAUAAAACACUGCUACUCUACGCACUUUGGUUUAAAUGCUUAAAGUUGUACAAAAAAAAAUCACAACAAAUAGAACAUGAACGUGACUUAAGACUUUGCAAGUAAAAUAUCUAAAGCAUACACAAUAUUAAAAUGUCACUUGUUAACAUAAUAUUGCUGCUGCUGACAUUUGUGCAUAAAAAAAAUAAAAAAUCCAGAACUUAACGUAGAAAAUAUAUAGUAACCACUAGGUGGUGCAAAUAUACGAUUAUGUAUAUUGAUAUUUAGGUUUCUUUGUAAAGCUGUAUGAUUUGUACAUUAGAAGCACUAUGGAUGGUACGUUAUAAUAUCUUCUGAUUCAUAUAUUUUCAUAAUUUUUUUCUAAAUAAAAUUAACCUUUGAAACACCUCAAUGAUAU